rnacentral:rRNA from 1 species
UACGUAGGGUCCGAGCGUUGUCCGGAAUUAUUGGGCGUAAAGAGCUCGUAGGCGGUUUGUCGCGUCUGCUGUGAAAUCCCGAGGCUCAACCUCGGGUCUGCAGUGGGUACGGGCAGACUGGAGUGCGGUAGGGGGAGAAUGGAAUUCCUGGUGUAGCGGUGGAAUGCGCAGAUAUCAGGAGGAACACCGAUGGCGAAGGCAGUUCUCUGGGCCGUAACUGCGCUGAGGAGCGAAAGCGUGGGGAGCGAACAGG